AAGACUCCAACAGCAGGACUGUGGUACAGCAGCCUGUGUCUGACACAUUGCAGCCAGGAGACUCUGUGAGCCUGCAGUGUACGAUAGAGACUGGGAGCUGUGCAGGAGAACACAGUGUUUACUGGUUCAGACAUGGAUCAGGAGAAUCCCUUCCUGGAGUCAUUUACAGCCAUGGAAACAGCAGUGAUGAGUGUGAGAAGAGCCCUGAGGCUGGAUCUCCUACACGGAGCUGCGUCUACAGCCUCCCCAAGGGGAACCUCAGCCUCUCCGAUGCUGGGACUUACUACUGCGCUGUGGCCAUGUGUGGGGAGAUGCUGUUUGGGAACGGCACAUAGCUGGAUAUAGAUGGCUUUCAGAAGCUGCUGGAUCCUCUUCACUCUGGCUUGCUGAUAGUUUUAUCUUGCAGCAUUAUUCUGAACGUUGCUCUCAUUUGUAUAAGAUGUAAACUGACCUGUACACACUGUGCAGAUGAAAAGAACAGUGAUAUAUCAAAAGUGGAAUGGUCACGCAAGCAAUGCCAUGACGAGGACACACUGAAUUACGCUGCCCUGAACCUUAAGAAGCCAAAACCCAGGAGACAGAAGAAAGACGGGAAUAAUGACACUCUGUAUUCUGACCUCCGCUACAGAGAUUAUGAAUAAAGAUGCUUCUCAUUCAUGUCAGUCACACAGAGUGUUCAGGGUGUAGCUUUAAUAAUGUUCAGAGGAGGGCAGGGGAGCCAGUGCUUCUGAGACUGAAUCACGGGAUUUUACGGAGCACCGGUGCUGAGUUUGGUGUCAGUGUGUUUGGGGCGCAUUUUUAC